rnacentral:rRNA from 1 species
GAUGAACGCUGGCGGCGUGCCUAAUACAUGCAAGUAGAACGCUGAAGCUUGGUGCUUGCACCGAGCGGAUGAGUUGCGAACGGGUGAGUAACGCGUAGGUAACCUGCCUCUUAGCGGGGGAUAACUAUUGGAAACGAUAGCUAAUACCGCAUAAAAGUCGAUAUCGCAUGAUAUUGAUUUGAAAGGUGCAAAUGCAUCACUAAGAGAUGGACCUGCGUUGUAUUAGCUAGUUGGUGAGGUAACGGCUCACCAAGGCGACGAUACAUAGCCGACCUGAGAGGGUGAUCGGCCACACUGGGACUGAGACACGGCCCAGACUCCUACGGGAGGCAGCAGUAGGGAAUCUUCGGCAAUGGGGGCGACCCUGACCGAGCAACGCCGCGUGAGUGAAGAAGGUUUUCGGAUCGUAAAGCUCUGUUGUAAGAGAAGAACGAGUGUGAGAGUGGAAAGUUCACACUGUGACGGUAACUUACCAGAAAGGGACGGCUAACUACGUG